GGGAGGGAGGUGAGAAGAAGCGGGCCACGGUCGGGCAGGGGUUGAGAAGCGGCCCAGCAGGACAGCAGAGACACAGAUGUUCUGCAACCGACCCAAGAGAAAGAGAGGCGAGGGCUAGACUGUGUGUGUGCCGCAUGUACAACAACUACAAAAUAGGAAUGAUCAGGCUGUUGAGAAGAUCAGUAUAUCAGGACUGCAGAUACAUCUUAAGAGAUUUCAACACAGACAGGCUAGUUAUACGUUUAAAUAUUCCAAGACUCAUGUCCCAACAUGUAACAUGAAAUGAAGAGACUAGAGACAGCUUCAGCUCUGUGAAACUGAACAUUUGAACAACUCUGAACACUAAAGAAGAAUAAAAAAGAUAGUUCAGCAAUCGUAUAUCAAUUAACUACAGAAGGAAAAAAAGUUUGAUGGAUCAAUUACUAUGCUGGGUGCCCUUGAUAAGGUGCCCUUAUCACUCUUAAACAGUCCCCUUUCCACUUGCU